UUGAUGGCAACAAGGCCUUGUGAGAUGCAGGAAAGACGAUGAACAGUUUAUACUGGCCAACGCUCAUGGACACAAAGUAACCUUCCUAAUUUGGAACCCUUGCUUAAAAUUGACAGGUUAUUCCUUCUGCGUUCUCCUCCAUAGAGACGUUAGAGACAAUUAUUCCGUGCCAGAUAUACAUGCUCGUGAAGUCCCAAAAAGUCAGAACUGUGCACACCAUGGCUUCUUUCUGGGAGGUUGACCUGCUGGAUCACAAACAGUACUUUGGUUUUAAGAAAAGCUAAGUUUAAAACAGUGUCCAUUGCUAAGGUACGGUGAAGUCUAAAACAUAUUGCCUGUCUGUGCUCAUUUGCAUGUCUCACUGGUAAUUCUGGGAUAGUUGUGGAAAUGUGAUUUCUCGUGUUUCUGUGCCCAAAGAGAAGUUCACAGAUUCCUACUCGAGACAAUUACUACAAAACUCAAUAAUGGAUAUGAAUACAUGCUUCAUCAAAAUAACUUAAUGUCUGAAUUUUAGUGCUCUUUGCAUCUGAACAAGUUUUUUUUCCAACAACUUUUACAUGUAUAGUCUGGCCACAUGUUCGACCAAAUGUGAGUUAUCAUUGCAAACGCACCGGCUGACGCCAGGUUUAGCAAAAAACAUUAUUCCACGCUUUGAUGAAUUGGGAGGUGGGAAGAUAAAGCAGGAAACAUAUCUUGAACAGAAAAUACACAUUAAAUACGAAGGUCGUAGGAUUUAGGAGUAAGGGAGAG